rnacentral:rRNA from 1 species
UUGCCUACGGGAGGCAGCAGUGGGGAAUAUUGCACAAUGGGGGAAACCCUGAUGCAGCAACGCCGCGUGAGUGAAGAAGUCAUUCGUGAUGUAAAGCUCUAUCAGCAGGGAAGAAAAUGACGGUACUUGAGUAAGAAGCCACGGCUAACUACGUGCCAGCAGCCGCGGUAAUACGUAGGUGGCAAGCGUUAUCCGGAAUGACUGGGCGUAAAGGGUGCGUAGGUGGUUUAGUAAGUUGGCGGUGUAAUUCCGGGGCUCAACCUCGGCGCUACCGCCAAAACUAUUAGACUAGAGUGCAGGAGGGG